UGUUGCACAAACCAUUCUCAUUAUUUUAACAAUGGCUGGACUUUUAUGAUAAUUACUAGAUCAACAUAAAGGAGUAAUGUUCCUAAUAAUGAAUGGUCUCGCUUUAAAUUUAUGUCAUAUACAAUGCUAUAUAGCUGUGGUUAUUUUCUUAAAAAUUUGCCCUGGCCAGGUGGCUCAGUCCACUGGAGCAUCAUCUCAUACACGGAAAGGUUGUGGGCACAUAACUAGGUUGCAGGUUCUAACCCCAACCAGUGUGCAUAUGCUAGUUAGCACUCUAACCGUCUUCCCCCUGGAAACACGCCGUAACAAAUUGCUAAUGGGUGAUACAUGCUGAAGUACCUAAUUUAACCAUUCCUCUUUACUGAACAUUUGCGCAAUUUCCAAUUGUUCUUUAAUGCAAAUAGUGCUUCACUGAAUGUUUCUAGAAAGAAAACUUUUUUAAGGAUAAACAAAACAAGGUGUAUUCAUACAACCAAAUUAUUAUUCAGCUAUUAAAAGGAAUGAGUACUAAAUGCAUGCUGUGACAGGGAUGAACCUUGAAAAGUAUGCUAAGUGAAAGAAUGCGGUUUAAAAAAGGCCACACAUUUCCUGUACUGCUGGUGGAAAUGUAAAAUGUACAAUCACUUUGGAAGACAGUAUAGCAGUUUCACUUACAGGUAAGUAACUAAAAUAAAUUGAAACAUACAUCCACACAAAGUUGUACGUGAAUGUUCAUAGCAGUGCUAUUCUUAACAGCCAAACUCUAGAAAGAAAACAAAUAUCCAUAAAUUGAUGACUGGGUAAAUAAAAUGUGGUAUAUUCAUACAACUGAAUAAUAUUCUGCCACAACAGAGAAUGAAGUGCUGGUACAUGCUACAACUAAGAUGCACCUCGAAACACUAUGCAAAGUGAAAGAAACCACUCACCAAAAGCCACAUAGUAUACGACCCCAUUUAUGUAAAAUGUCCAAAAAGAGGCAAACCAAGAGAGACAGAAAAUAGAUUAGUGGUUGCCUGGGGCUUGGGGGGAGGGAGGAAUGUAGAAUGACUCCUAAUUUAUUUUUGGGAUGAUGAAAAUACUCUAAAAUUAGACAAGAGUGACCACUGCACAACUGACUUAAUAUACUUUAAAAAGGUGAACUAUGAUAUGUAAAAUUAGGAUUCUGACACCAACAUUAAGCGAUUCUGACACCAGCUGGGUACCCAAUAAUUCAUCUCAAAUCUGACAUGAGCUUCUUAGAUAACAUCAAAUCCCACAGGUUAAGGGCUCCCUCCUACAAGACUACAGCUUUUCCCCUUCAGAGGUCAAUCAUACAUCCAGGUUGUCACUGUGUGAAUUCCCAUGACCCACCUCACCUCAGGUAUCAUUUAAUUUGCUAGAGCUGUUAAGAAAACUCUCAGAAACACUUACUAGAUUUUGUUUCUUAUACAAUGAUACAACUCAGGUAGAGCUAGGUAGAAGAGAUGCACAGAGCAAGGAAGGGGGAUAGAGACACGGAGCCUCCAUGCUUUCCCAGCAUUGCAACCGCACCAACCCAGAAGCACCCCAAACCCAUCCAUCCUCUUGGGUUCUUUGUGGAGGCUCCACUGCAAAGGCAUGGCUGAUGAAAGCACUGGCCACUGGCAAGUCACCCUCCAGCCCUUUUCCCUUCCAGAGGCCCCAGGGAUGAGACUUGAUGUUCCAUCCCGCUAAUCACAAGGUUUGGUCCAAGGCAACCAGCCCCCAUCCACUGGUGUGGUCCAAAAAACUGCCUCAUUAACAUAACAAAAGAAACUCCUUUUCCUCAUUCAAUGGUUUUAAAGCGUUCUGUACCACAAAGAGGGAAGAUGACCACAUAUGUAUUUCUUACUAUAAAUUACAUUACAUGAAUUAUCUCAAUAAAGCUGCCAUUAAAAAAGAACAAUAAUCUCCCUCAAGAAGGAAUGGCAGGAGGAAUUUGUUAUUCCCUUAGGACACAGCUAUACUCACAAGGCAAAAAUAUUCCUCACUACUCUGAUAUAUGCCACACUGCUUUUCAAAAGGGUUCUACAGAUUUAUACUCCCAACAGCAAUUUAUUUAGUACCUGUCUCACAGUACCUCAGUUGAUUUAGCACCAUUUAUUAAAUCUUAAAUCUGGUAAGAGAAACUUGUUACUGAUUAUUACUUAAACUGAACACCUUUUCUCAUAUUUUAGUCAUUUUUUUCUUUUGGAAAGGGUCAGUUCUUAGCAUUUAAAACAGUCAUCUUUACACAUACAAUUGCUUCAUUACACAAAUGCUUGAGUUUC